GGCUCCAUAGUGUAGCGGUUAGCACGUCUGCUUUACAUGCAGAAGGUCCUGGGUUUGUGUCCCGGAUGGAGCCA
rfam:Pteropus alecto contig64207, whole genome shotgun sequence.